rnacentral:rRNA from 1 species
GUGGGGAAUAUUGCACAAUGGGCGAAAGCCUGAUGCAGCAACGCCGCGUGAGGGACGACGGCCUUCGGGUUGUAAACCUCUUUUAGUAGGGAAGAAGCGAAAGUGACGGUACCUGCAGAAAAAGCACCGGCUAACUACGUGCCAGCAGCCGCGGUAAUACGUAGGGUGCAAGCGUUGUCCGGAAUUAUUGGGCGUAAAGAGCUCGUAGGCGGUUUGUCGCGUCUGCUGUGAAAACCCGAGGCUCAACCUCGGGCCUGCAGUGGGUACGGGCAGACUAGAGUGCGGUAGGGGAGAUUGGAAUUCCUGGUGUAGCGGUGGAAUGCGCAGAUAUCAGGAGGAACACCGAUGGCGAAGGCAGAUCUCUGGGCCGUAACUGACGCUGAGGAGCGAAAGCGUGGGGAGCGAACAGGAUUAGAAACCCCAGUAGUCC